ensembl:lncRNA
UAUAUAGUUGAGUAGAUGUAUAUAGAUGUAUAUAGUUGAGUAGAUGUAUAUAGAUGUGUAUAUAGUUGAUUAGAUGUAGAUAGUUGAGUAGAUGUAUAUAGAUGUAUAGAUGUAUAUAGAUGUAUAUAGUUGAGUAGAUGUAUAUAGGUGUAUAUAGUUGAGAUGUAUAUAGAUGUGUAUAUAGUUGAGAUGUAUAUAGAUGUAUAUAGUUGAGUAGAUGUAUAUAGAUGUAUAUAGUUGAGUAGAUGUAUAUAGGUGUAUAUAGUUGAGAUGUAUAUAGAUGUAUAUAGUUGAGUAGAUGUAUAUAGAUGUAUAUAGUUGAGUAGAUGUAUAUAGUUGAGUAGAUGUAUAUAGAUGUAUAUAGUUGAGUAGAUGUAUAUAGAUAUAUAUAGUUGAGUAGAUGUAUAUAGGUGUAUCUAGUUGAGUAGAUGUAUAUAGGUGUAUAUAGUUGAAUGCAUGUAUAUACAUGUAUAAAGUUGAAUAGAUGUUAGCGUCGCAUCGUGACUGUGUUGGUCGUUUGUUAGAUAAGUAAAAGUAUUUGUGGAGAGCUUAUCUCAGCGCUAAAUCUUUUUUCUGUUUUUUUUUCCCCUUUGGUAUCAUCAUUUCUGAUCAGGGUGUGAGUCUCUGGAACGAUAAACAGGUCUUCUUCUUUUUUUUUUUUUCUUGUUCAUAUUGGGAAUUGAGAACUUUGCUAAUCUCUUUAUCUGUCUUUCGCCACUACCUGAGAAGGGCGUUACACUCGGUCGCUGUGAGCCCUCAGGUGAACAGGUGUACGUUUUCCCAUUGACUCCCGUUUCCUCAUUUCUACCUUCUGCCAUGUUAACAGGAAUUAAAAAUCAUGCUGUUCCUGUUCUUCAGCUUCUCAGUCACCUGAAUCUCACCUGGGCUGCAUUCCAGUACUGUUGCUAAUCUGCGCGCUCAGACCUGCAGCUCGAU